rnacentral:hammerhead_ribozyme from 1 species
AUUCACCUGACGAGUCCCAAAUAGGAAGAAAUGCGCAUCCUGGAC